CGAAGGGGCUAGCGUUGUUCGGAAUUACUGGGCGUAAAGCGCGCGUAGGCGGUGAUCUUUGUCAGAGGUGAAAGCCCGGGGCUCAACUCCGGAAUUGCCCUUGAAACGGGAUUGCUAGAGUCCGAGAGAGGAUGGCGGAAUUCCUAGUGUAGAGGUGAAAUUCGUAGAUAUUAGGAAGAACACCGGUGGCGAAGGCGGCCAUCUGGCUCGGUACUGACGCUCAGGCGCGAAAGCGUGGGGAGCAAACAGGAUUAGAUACCCUGGUAGUCCACGCCGUAAACUAUGAAUGCUAGUUGUUAGGAAGUUUACUUCUUAGUGACGCAGCUAACGCGUUAAGCAUUCCGCCUGGGGAGUACGGUCGCAAGAUUA
rnacentral:rRNA from 1 species